GCGGAUGUGGCUCAGUUGGUAGAGCUCCAGCUUCCCAAGCUGGGAGUCGCGGGUUCGAGUCCCGUCAUCCGCU
rnacentral:tRNA from 2 species